rnacentral:tRNA from 1 species
AAAGGUAUAGCUCAAGUGAUAGAGUGCAUGCUUAGCAUACACAGGUUCUGAGUUCAAUUCCCAGUACCUUCU